AGCUCUGGACACUACAAGGAGGAUGGUUUUGGAGAGACUCGGGACUGGAAAGGCUGUUGGAGUAACCAGGCUGGUGGAAGCCAGGGUGAGGCCAUUGUGCUGUGAGCAGGCUGCUGAUGUCAGGGCUCUGAGCCAAAGCUGAGCAGCACAGAAGCAGCCAGUGUUAAAGGCAGGUGGUGACACAACCCAUUACUGGUCUGGGUGAUCCCCCAAAGCAUCCCACUGAUACACUCAGAAGCAUCAAACACACCUGUAUUUUCAUUUGGCUUAGAAGAUGCUGGUAAAACAUCAUUGUAAUUUUUCUUAAGAAUUCAAAGACGCCAAGACCUUGGAAGCAGUCGAUAGUCAUCUGCGUGACUUGGAUUGCCCCAAGAGUCAGCGCCUUGAGCAGGCAAUCGUUCAGUUGCCAGGGUAUGGGUGCCUAGGAUCUGAGCACCGCUCUGGAAUUCUUCAUGGUGUGCAGUACUUCGUUGUUUUUUGCUGCAAAUAACUUCUCGCCAUCGAAGGGGAGAUUCUCCACGAUGUUUUUUAUCUUGCGUGGGAAAGAAAAAGAGGUAAACCAUGAAGCCCGAUGCAUCACUAUGGCUGUUGCGGUGGAUCUGGCAGCUGUGUCUGCAGCAUUGAGGGCAGCCUGCAAUGCCGCGGGGGAAAUAAUCUGUCCUUCAGAGACUACUGCUUUGAAUUGUUGUCUCUCGUCCUCUGGGAUGUCAUUAAUAAAAUCCAUGCGUUUCCCAUAA